GAUGAACGCUGGCGGCGUGCCUAAUACAUGCAAGUCGAGCGAACAGAUGAGGAGCUUGCUCCUCUGACGUUAGCGGCGGACGGGUGAGUAACACGUGGAUAACCUACCUAUAAGACUGGGAUAACUUCGGGAAACCGGAGCUAAUACCGGAUAAUAUAUUGAACCGCAUGGUUCAAUAGUGAAAGACGGUUUUGCUGUCACUUAUAGAUGGAUCCGCGCCGCAUUAGCUAGUUGGUAAGGUAACGGCUUACCAAGGCAACGAUGCGUAGCCGACCUGAGAGGGUGAUCGGCCACACUGGAACUUAGCCACGGUCCAGACUCCUACGGGAGGCAGCAGUAGGGAAUCUUCCGCAAUGGUCGAAAGCCUGACGGAGCAACGCCGCGUGAGUUAUGAAGGUCUUCGGAUCGUAAAACUCUGUUAUUAGUGAAGAACAAAUGUGUAAGUAACUAUGCACGUCUUGACGGUACCUAAUCAGAAAGCCACGGCUAACUACGUG
rnacentral:rRNA from 1 species